GACGUAGGGUCCGAGCGUUGUCCGGAGUUACUGGGCGUAAAGGGCGCGUAGGCGGCUUUGUGCGUCACCCGUGAAAGCCCCCGGCUCAAGCCGGGGAGGGUCGGGUGAAACGGCGGAGCUGGAGGCAGCGAGAGGCUGGUGGAAUUCCCGGAGUAGUGGUGAAAUGCGUAGAGAUCGGGAGGAACACCGGUGGCGAAGGCGGCCAGCUGGCGCUGACCUGACGCUGAGGCGCGAAGGCGUGGGGAGCGAACGGG
rnacentral:rRNA from 1 species